rnacentral:rRNA from 1 species
AGUGAACGCUGGCGGUAGGCUUAACACAUGCAAGUCGAACGGCAGCACAGUAAGAGCUUGCUCUUACGGGUGGCGAGUGGCGGACGGGUGAGGAAUAUAUCGGAAUCUACUUUUUCGUGGGGGAUAACGUAGGGAAACUUACGCUAAUACCGCAUAUCACCUAAGGGUGAAAGCAGGGGAUCUUCGGACCUUGCGCGAUUGAAUGCGCCGAUGUCGUAUUAGCUAGUUGGCGGGGUAAAGGCCCACCAAGGCGACGAUCCGUAGCUGGUCUGAGAGGAUGAUCGGCCACACUGGAGCUGGGACGCGGUCCAGACUCCUACGGUAGGCAGCAGUGUGGAAUGUUAGGCAAUGGUCGCAAGCCUGGUCCAGCCAUACCGCGUGGGUGGAAAAGACCUUCGGGUUGUAAAGCCCUUUUGUUGGGAAAGAAAAGCAGCAGGUUAAUACCCCGCUGUACUGACGGUACCCAAAGAAUAAGCACCGGCUAACUUCGUG